GCGAUACCACAGCACUGAGGCUCAGUGGGUCUUGGAGCACCUGGCCCUUGGGAAACUACAACAGAGAUACAGGAUUGUUUUCAGUAGUGAGAACACCUCACACCACAGGGCUAUUGCUCUGGAUGACAUCUCCUUCGUGAAUUGCGAGACCUCAUACCAGCCACCAGCUCUGUCAGCUACGGACUGCUCUUUUGAGGAGGGCCUGUGUGCGUGGACACAGGGUAGUG